rnacentral:rRNA from 1 species
CGUUCUGUAAGCCUGUGAAGGUGUGCUGUGAGGCAUGCUGGAGGUAUCAGAAGUGCGAAUGCUGACAUAAGUAACGAUAAAGCGGGUGAAAAGCCCGCUCGCCGGAAGACCAAGGGUUCCUGUCCAACGUUAAUCGGGGCAGGGUGAGUCGACCCCUAAGGCGAGGCCGAAAGGCGUAGUCGAUGGGAAACAGGUUAAUAUUCCUGUACUUGGUGUUACUGCGAAGGGGGGACGGAGAAGGCUA